GCUGAGCAUGGUGGCUUGUGUCUGUAGUCCCAGCUACUCAGGAGGCUGAGGCAGGAUUGCAUGAGCACAAGAGUUCAGGGUGUUAAUGCUGUAUGCCGAACAGGUGUUCACAGUAAGUUUGGUAUCAGUAUGGUGACUUCCCAGGAGCAGGGAACUACCAGGUUGCCUAAGUGAUCAUCCUACUGUGACCAUCACACUGUGAUGAUCACUAGUAGAACGGAGCCUGUGCGUAGCCACUGCACUCCAGCCUGGGCAACAUAGCGAGACCCUGUCU
rnacentral:SRP_RNA from 10 species